rnacentral:rRNA from 1 species
GAUGAACGCUGGCGGCGUGCUUAACACAUGCAAGUCGAACGUGAGAGGAUAGCAAUAUUCUUGAAAGUGGCGCACGGGUGAGUAAUACGUAGGUAACCUGCCCUGGAGUGGGGGAUAACAACUAGAAAUGGUUGCUAAUACCGCAUGAAGCCAAGACACUGGGAAGUGACUUGGUAAAAACUCUGGUGCUUCAGGAGGGGCCUACGGCCGAUUAGCUAGUUGGCGGGGUAAGAGCCCACCAAGGCAGUGAUCGGUAGCUGGUCUGAGAGGACGAUCAGCCACACGGGAACUGAGACACGGUCCCGACUCCUACGGGGGGCAGCAGUGAGGAAUAUUGGGCAAUGGGCGGAAGCCUUGACCCAGCGAACGCCGCGUGGGUGAUGAAGGUCUUCGGAUUGUAAAACCCUGUCGCCAGGGACGAAGGGUGGGGCGUGAAUAGCGUUCUACUUUGACGGUACCUGGAAAGGAAGCCCCGGCUAACUCUGUGCCAGCAGCCGCGGUAAAGCACGA